CAGCCGCCGCGGUAAUACGAAGGGUGCAAGCGUUAAUCGGAAUUACUGGGCGUAAAGCGUGCGUAGGCGGUUUGUUAUGUCUGCUGUGAAAUCCCCGGGCUCAACCUGGGAAUGGCAGUGGAUACUGGCAAGCUAGAGUGUGUCAGAGGAUGGUGGAAUUCCCGGUGUAGCGGUGAAAUGCGUAGAGAUCUGGAGGAAUACCGGUGGCGAAGGCGGCCCCCUGGACGAAGACUGACGCUCAGGUACGAAAGCGUGGGGAGCAAACAGGAUUAGAUACCCCAGUAGUCCCUGUCUCUUAUAC
rnacentral:rRNA from 1 species